GAUGAACGCUGGCGGCGUGCCUAAUACAUGCAAGUCGAGCGAACGGACGAGAAGCUUGCUUCUCUGAUGUUAGCGGCGGACGGGUGAGUAACACGUGGAUAACCUACCUAUAAGACUGGGAUAACUUCGGGAAACCGGAGCUAAUACCGGAUAAUAUUUUGAACCGCAUGGUUCAAAAGUGAAAGACGGUCUUGCUGUCACUUAUAGAUGGAUCCGCGCUGCAUUAGCUAGUUGGUAAGGUAACGGCUUACCAAGGCAACGAUGCAUAGCCGACCUGAGAGGGUGAUCGGCCACACUGGAACUGAGACACGGUCCAGACUCCUACGGGAGGCAGCAGUAGGGAAUCUUCCGCAAUGGGCGAAAGCCUGACGGAGCAACGCCGCGUGAGUGAUGAAGGUCUUCGGAUCGUAAAACUCUGUUAUUAGUGAAGAACAUAUGUGUAAGUAACUGUGCACAUCUUGACGGUACCUAAUCAGAAAGCCACGGCUAACUACGU
rnacentral:rRNA from 1 species